rnacentral:lncRNA from 1 species
GCGGCGGGAAGGCCGGGCAGAAGGACCGGCUGGGGCAGGACAAGGGCGGCCACGCCAAGCUCGAGUGCCCUCUCUGCAAGACCACCGCCCCCGACAUCAAGUCCAUGCAGAUCCACCACGAGGCGCGCCACCCCAAGCUCCCCUUCGAGCCCGACAAGCUCAACAACCUCCACGGCGGCGGCGCCGGCGCCGCCGCCGCCGCCGGUGAGGCCGCCGCCUCCUCCUCCAAGCCCAAGCCCGGCGUCCGCGGCAGCCUCAAGAAGUAACCGCAAUCGAAUCCAUCAUCACCCGAAUCUGCUACUACUACC